AGCGGGGUAGAGGAAUUGGUCAACUCAUCAGGCUCAUGACCUAAAGACUGCAGGUUCGAAUCCUUUCCCCACCU
rfam:Triticum aestivum genome assembly, contig: Triticum_aestivum_CS42_TGACv1_scaffold_343159_4DL